GAUGAACGCUGGCGGCAUGCUUAACACAUGCCAGUCGGACGGGAAGUGCUGUUUCCUGUGGCGUGCUGGUGUGUAACGCGUAAGAAUCUGCCCUUGGGAGGCGAACAACAGCUGGAAGCGGCUUCUAAUACCCCGUAGGCUGAGCAGCAAAAGGAGGCAUCCGCCGGAGGGGGGGCUCGCGUCUGAUUAGCUAGUUGGUGAGGCAAUAGCUUACCAAGGCGAUGAUCAGUGGGUGGUCCGAGAGGAUGAUCGGCCACACUAGGACGGAGACACGGACCCGACUACGGGGGGAAGCAGCAGGGAAGAAUGUACCACAAUGGGAGAAAGGAUGCAGCAGCGCUGCCGGGUGGAGGUAGGAGGUCAGGGGGUCGUGAACUUCUUUUCCCGAAGAAGAGGGAGUGACGGUAAUUGGGAAAGAAGCAUCGGCUAACUAUGUG
rnacentral:rRNA from 1 species